rnacentral:ncRNA from 1 species
AUGUGGAGAGUUUAGGGCUUAGUGAAUGCAAGAGAUUGGUGAAAGAGUGUGUUUCGUCUGACUGGCAAGUCAGAUGGGACACUAGCGUGAAUGGGCGUGUCACUCAUCGGUUUAUACGGGAGGUUACAUUUGCCGGCAGCCGACCAGACUUUGGGUUCGGCCUGAGUCUUGGAUUCCUGUUGACUGGUCACGGUUCCCUCAAUGCAUUCUUGCAUUCGAGGAACCUUUAUGACAGUCCAGAAUGCCGUUGUGGCUCGGCUGCUGAGACAUGGGAGCAUGUUCUCUGUGAGUGCACAAGGUAUGCAGAUUUUCGAGAUCUGAGGGGGAUGGGUAUAAGUGAGGUUAGUGGCGGGUUUGACGUAAGUCAAUCACUCUCCACUAGUGAUAGGGUUAGAAGAAUGAGUGAGUUUGCUAGAGCUGCAUUUUCCAGGCGACGUUUGCAAUUGCAGGAAGGAAUUGUAUGAAUGAUGAUGGAUGGUAGAUGUGAGAAUGUGGGGGUACGAAUGUGGGGGUGUUUCUGAAUGGUAAUUUUUGUUGAACAUUGUGUUGUGAUGGGGCUACCAACCCUUAACUGUUUGGAGUUUAAAUUGGAAGUGCCCUUCUGGUACGAGGCCUGACCGGAGGCUUUUAAUCUGGUACCACGGGUAACCAGGAGCCCACGGAACUUGUUCCGUCCUGGUUAGUUGGUGCGGCCCUUCGGGGAGUAUCGUGGUGGUUGUGGUUUAACACCCAAAUGCGGGUAGAGCAUCGCUCGACGUGGAGUUGCGUCAUACAACCGGGUUCCGUGACCCAGAUUACGGAAGAGGCUUAGAUAGUCCUCGUGCCAAACCAAGGUAGAAGUCACAACCAAACAGUCGUGUCUUUAAUUGGUACCUGCGGAAUUGUUCCAAGGGGGCGGUGAUUGACGCUUGAAUUAAUCCUAUACUAGGAACCGUGAGAUUAAGCCAUCGCGGCAGGUGCUCACGUUAAGCCCACUGACUUUCAUGUCCCUAUCUACUAUCUAGCGAAACCACAGCCAAGGGAACGGGCUUGGAAUAAUUAGCGGGGAAAGAAGACCCUUUUGAGCUUGACUCUAAUCUGGCAGUGUAAGGAGACAUAAGAGGUGUAGAAUAAGUGGGAGAUAUUAGACUUCGGUUUGGUAUCGACAAUGAAAU